ACUCCUGCGGGAGGCAGCAGUGGGGAAUUUUGGACAAUGGGCGAAAGCCUGAUCCAGCCAUGCCGCGUGCAGGAUGAAGGCCUUCGGGUUGUAAACUGCUUUUGUACGGAACGAAACGGCCUUUUCUAAUAAAGAGGGCUAAUGACGGUACCGUAAGAAUAAGCACCGGCUAACUACGUGCCAGCAGCCGCGGUAAUACGUAGGGUGCAAGCGUUAAUCGGAAUUACUGGGCGUAAAGCGUGCGCAGGCGGUUAUGUAAGACAGUUGUGAAAUCCCCGGGCUCAACCUGGGAACUGCAUCUGUGACUGCAUAGCUAGAGUACGGUAGAGGGGGAUGGAAUUCCGCGUGUAGCAGUGAAAUGCGUAGAUAUGCGGAGGAACACCGAUGGCGAAGGCAAUCCCCUGGACCUGUACUGACGCUCAUGCACGAAAGCGUGGGGAGCAAACAGGAUUAGAAACCCUAGUAGUCCCAUGA
rnacentral:rRNA from 1 species